rnacentral:rRNA from 1 species
GUAGGGAAUAUUGCGCAAUGGACGCAAGUCUGACGCAGCAACGCCGCGUGGGUGAUGAAGCUCCUUGGAGUGUAAAACCCUGUCAGUGGGGAAGAAACGUGCAGGGAGCAACUACCCUGCACCUGACGGUACCCACAGAGGAAGUCCCGGCUAACUCCGUGCCAGCAGCCGCGGUAAUACGGGGGGGACGAGCGUUGUUCGGAUUUACUGGGCGUAAAGGGCGCGUAGGCGGACCGUUAAGUCGGGUGUGAAAACUGUCAGCUCAACUGCCAGCUUGCAUUCGAUACUGACGGCCUUGAGUACGGGAGAGGAGAGUGGAAUUCCAGGUGUAGCGGUGAAAUGCGUAGAUAUCUGGAAGAACACCAGUAGCGAAGGCGGCUCUCUGGCCCGAUACUGACGCUCAAGCGCGAAGGCUUGGGGAGCAAACAGGAUUAGAAACCCUAGUAGUCC